AUUGAACGCUGGCGGCAUGCUUUACACAUGCAAGUCGAACGGUAACAGACCGCAAGGUGCUGACGAGUGGCGAACGGGUGCGUAAUGCAUCGGAACGUGCCCAGUCGUGGGGGAUAACUACUCGAAAGAGUAGCUAAUACCGCAUACGAUCUAUGGAUGAAAGCGGGGGACCGUAAGGCCUCGCGCGAUUGGAGCGGCCGAUGUCAGAUUAGGUAGUUGGUGGGGUAAAGGCUCACCAAGCCAACGAUCUGUAGCUGGUCUGAGAGGACGACCAGCCACACUGGGACUGAGACACGGCCCAGACUCCUACGGGAGGCAGCAGUGGGGAAUUUUGGACAAUGGGCGCAAGCCUGAUCCAGCAAUGCCGCGUGCAGGAAGAAGGCCUUCGGGUUGUAAACUGCUUUUGUACGGAACGAAACGGCUCUGGUUAAUACCCGGGGCUAAUGACGGUACCGUAAGAAUAAGCACCGGCUAACUACGUG
rnacentral:rRNA from 1 species